rnacentral:lncRNA from 1 species
GUUCAUCACAUCCUAGAACUAGAAAAAUUAGCCACACAUAUUGUCGAAAUUAAAUAAAUAAAGUUGGAACAACAUCACCUAGUAAUUGACAGAAGGUGAAUGAUUUCCAAAUUCCUUCCAAAGCUGCCACCUCAAUCUGCGUCGGUUCCAAAUUAAUUCAUGUAAUCAGCCACCAAUUUGUAUAUAUUUUUCAGCGCUUUUCUUCUAUGUUUUUUCUCCAGCCAACUGCUGACUUUAUUUGCAGCAACCAACUGAAAUUUUUGACUCGAAAAUAACUCGCCAAAUCAGCCGAAAUCGCUCUCAGUUUCUGCCACUUUUCUCCACAAACUUCGGCUUUUUAUCCUUCAAUUUUUGUCCCCUCACCGUCCGUUUUCUAUUGGCAUUUAUAUAUAAUUUCAACAACAGCCUACUUUUUGUAUUCCAAUUCCCACCAACUCGGCUUUUGUUUUGUGCCUAAUCUAAUAAUCUUGGCUGCUUCUCUCUGCGUGUAUGUGUAUAUAUAUCAACUCCAGGAGGAUAUUAUCUAUGUAUAUAAAAUCAAUUCCGGCCGCCUAUAUACGUGUACAAUAAUCAGUCCCCAAAUUGGCUGCUAAUGCUUGAUUUUAUAAUCCUCACAGCAACUUUAAUGCUUUAACUUGUCCAAAUUCCAGGCCCCUUUUUAUCAAAUUUAGCCGCUCAAUUGUGUUGGUAAUCCAAUGUUUUCCCUUAGCCGGCUCUCCCUACGUGUACAAUCUCCCUCAACUCCUUUUCUUUUAGCCUCCCUUGCUCCAAGAAAACUGCCGUCUUCUAUGUAUAUAUAUUCAUG